rnacentral:misc_RNA from 1 species
GCAGCGCCACUUCGAGCACAUAAUACAGACAUUCUUAUAUACACAGAAAGGAUUAAUUUCUUUUCGUUCGAAAAUUGAAUAAGAAUAUAUUGAAUGGGGAUCACAGAUCACAGAUCACAGUAGUGAACAGUGUUAGUGUAUCGUGGUAUCGUCUGCCGGGCCAGCGGUAUCAAGAGCAUAUAGCAAAGCACAAAGCACAAGGCUAGGAUUGUGGGGAGGAUUAAAUUCGUGGAUGAUUGCUUAGUAAUAAUAAGCGAAUGGUUUCAUUGUGGAGUGCACUUUUUGUGUAGUCUUGAGAUGAACAAGUAAUCGUAGAGAUUUAUUCUACAAAUAAUAUACCAUAGAGGACAUUGACGUUCGAUUAGUAAUUGCCGAAAGCGCUGUCAAACAAUGAGACAUUGCUGUCAAAGCGAUCAAGUUCUGUGAGGUGUUGGCGGGUGGGUGACACCAAAUAUUUAUAUAUAUAUUUAUAUAUAUAUGUGUGUAUAUAUGUAUAAUAUAUAUGUAUAAUAUAUAUAUAUAUAUAACACGCGAGCGUCUAGUCAAAGAAGUUCCCCCCGCCUUGCCUCUUUCCAUCCAUCGCGGUUAUAGAAUCCCGGUCGGUUGCCGCUAAACACGCCCGGCUGUCACAGACGCCAUGUUACGAAGCCGCAUAUUGCCGAUGGCAAUCAUCAUAACUUCCCUUAUUACCUCAUGUAUUAUUGAUGUUCGUGCCGAUCUUGAAAAUAGCGGAUUAACAACGGUAGCAGUAACAGGCACCGAUCUGACCACAACAAUUCGAACUAUAACAGCAACAUUAGAAAUAGACUCGUCUCAAAAAAUAGAUGGCAUAGAGGCAGGCAGCACGCCUUUUCUAAUAUGUAAACUGAGUGAACCUGGUAUGAUAACUUGGAACUCUGAUGGCAGAAAUAUCACCACUAUAAGAGACUUGGAUUAUUCUACCCCUAAGGGACGAAUAGAUCUGAGGCAAGCCAAAAGAAAUGAUACUGGAAAUUACACAUGUACAGGCAAAACCAAUGGUGGAGAUUUCUUGCAAAAAACAGUAUUUGUUAGGAUCAUAGAACCUGGUAAAAUACGACCAGCCAAGGAUGUCAGAAGAAAAGUAGGUGAGUCAGUCAAAUUAGUAUGCCAUAUGGAGGGUGAACCUCUGACAAAUUUCACAUGGCUUAAGGGAAACAAUAGCGAAAGCAUUGAACAUCUGCAAGAGCUAACAAAACUGGAGCGCAUUAACGAAACUUUAUCAGUUUUAUCGCUUGUUUUCGAGAGUGUAUCUCGCCGUGACAAUGGCACAUACACUUGUCAAGCAACGGAUUACUAUGGUGUUGUGAGUGCCAUGCAAAGUCUAUUUGUCAUAGACAAGCCUCAGGUUAAUAUCGAUUUCAUGAAAGCUGUUGGUGCCCAUAUGAUAUAUUUGAACUGGACGGUGAAUGAUGGUAACGAGCCCAUUAAAGAAUAUCUCAUACAACACAUGCCAAAUGGCACUGAUCAGUGGCACUUUUAUCGUGGUGAAAUUGGUGGUGGAAACUUAAGUUAUGUUCUUAAAGGCCUUGAGAAAGGUACAGCCUAUCAGCUAAGAAUAAGCGCUGUUAACGCUAUAGGAAGAUCACAAAUACAAACGGAUCCCCGAUGGAUCACCACACUCUCUGAAGAUCCUGUUUUCAUUCCGACAGUUUCCGUAAACGGUUUCACCGAUCGUUCAAUUACCAUCGGUUGGAAUGUACCGCCACCAGAUCUACGAGAACACGUGCAUUACUAUAAAUUGAUGGUGACUCAUGGUGACCAAAAGAAAGAGGCUUUUUAUCCAGCACAAACCUUCAAUGUUUACGUAUUUGUCGAUCUUGAUCCAGCGACCACUUAUCAAUUCAAAAUUGCUGCUUGCAGCGAAUACACAAAGCAUUGUGGAAAUUGGAGCAAAAUAGUCAAUGGAACGACCAUGGAUGGAGUCUGUGGUGCACCGCAAAAUCUUACGGUUACCUGUCGCUUCGACAAUAUUAGUAGCACAGCUUACGUUUACGUAUCUUGGCAGCCACCGGCAAGACCUAACGGCGUUAUAACACGUUAUCAAUUGGAACUCACCGGUGCCGCUCAAUACCGCAACGACCUCGGUAGACCAGGCAAUAAUUGGUGGAAAUUGCCUGAUAAAACGGUCAAAGAACUUGAACAUAGCUACGAAUUCAAAAGCCUCUCACCCAAUACAAAUUAUACGGUGCGGGCCUGGUGUGUAACGAGGCUACGAACGCCUGGUAAAGAUACCAUUGGAAAUUGUACAAUGCCAGUAACUGUGCCGGAUAAAGAAAAUAUGAAUCUUCGUUCAUGGCGUAAGAUCGAGAGCGAGGGUAGACAAUUAUUCAAGCUGUAUUUACCAAGAAUAUCAGAGAGAAAUGGUCCAAUAUGUUGUUAUCGAAUAUUCAUGGUAAAGUUAGGACCUCAAAAAUCGACCGGAGAUUUGCCAGCACCUGAUGAGAUAGAAAUUCAUACAUAUCAUUAUGUUCACGCUUCACCAAGUGGAGGAGCUUAUCUUGCCGAAAUGUUCGACAGCGAUCAUCUCUUGUCAGAAAUAUUUCUCGGCGACGGUGAAUCAUCUAACGCGAGUAACGUCUGUGAUCGUUGCAUCGGUCUUCGACCUAAAGCGACGCCAACUCUUCAUCUCGUGCCUGAAGUUUCCGGCACGGCCACGACCAACACGACGAUCUCAACGACAAUAAUACAAACUACCUUCGUUCCACAUUUUGAAACUUCACAAACUACCACCAUUACCUCCACCGUUGUUGAAACUACCCCUACGAGCCAGUCACGAAACUCUUCGGAAUCAACAGUUCGUCAUAAAAGAGACGACACGCCCGAAAUUAGCCCACUUCUCAUUGAAAAUCCAUCAGGAUCUGGAAUUUAUCCACCUUACGAUGGGUUUAUUGACGAAAAAGCCAAUUAUACCGCUUUCAUCGAAGUUAUAGUUUACGGUGAUCGAGACGGUCAAGUAAUGCCAGCAUACAGCGGAUAUCUCCACCAGCUUUACGGUGGUCCGGAUUAUCGUAACAUUGCAGCACAGAAAGAAAAUACUCUCGAAGUAAUACUGCAAAUAGUAGUUGCUCUUAUUCUCAUAAUUGCGAUACUUUUGAUCGCGUUGUGCGUUUUGCACAGAUAUACGAAACGAGCAGAGCAGCGAGGCGAAGAAAUAAUAACACUGAGAAAUAGUUUCAGGCAUCUCUGCAGAAGUUUGAGAGGUAGGCAUCAGCUAGUAGCAGCGAGUCCACCGGAUAUGCCACCGAUACCAAAAGCCGAUCUCUUGCAGGCUUAUCUCGAGCGUCACCGUGACUCAGAUUAUGGUUUUCAACACGAAUUUGAGCUUUUGCCAGAUCGCUUCGCCGAUCGUACGACACGAGCUUCCGAGGGACGAGAAAACCUUUACAAAAAUCGUUAUCCUGACAUCAAGUGCUACGAUCAAACGAGAGUUCGCUUGUCCCAGAUUGACGGUAUUUCCGGUUCAGAUUAUAUCAAUGCGAACUUUGUUCUUGGUUAUAAGGAAAGAAAGAAGUUCAUAUGUGCUCAAGGGCCUAUGGAAAACACCGUUUGUGACUAUUGGCGCAUGAUUUGGGAACAACAUCUCGAACUCGUACUAAUGCUCACAAAUCUCGAAGAAUACUCCAAAACUAAAUGUGCUAAAUACUGGCCUGACAAAGAAGAAACGAAAAAUUUUGGUGAUAUCACGGUAGAACAUAUUAAACAACGACCAUUCUCCGAUUACGUUGUUCGAGAGUUGAAAAUGUCUCGUACCGGCGAACGGGAUUCCCGCAUAAUCGUCCAAUACCAUUUUCUCGUAUGGAAAGAUUUCAUGGCACCCGAACAUCCUCAUGCAAUUUUACGCUUUAUCAAACGCGUCAACGAGGCUUAUUCCCUCGAGAAGGGACCCAUUCUUGUACAUUGCAGUGCCGGUGUUGGAAGAACCGGCACUCUCGUUGCGCUUGACUCUCUCCUUCAACAACUUUCCGAAGAAGGACAAGUCUCCAUUUUUAAUACCGUCUGCGAUUUACGACAUCAACGGAAUUAUUUGGUACAGUCGUUGAAGCAGUACAUUUUCAUAUAUCGUUCUCUCAUGGAAAUGGCUCUUUACGGCGAUACGGAAAUACCCAUUUCACUAUUGAAAUCCAGCAUCGAAAAACUCAGGAUCAGGGACAAUGGCAAAGAAAAAUGUCGCAUGGAGGAAGAAUAUGAUAAAAUCAGUUCUGUGUUGGAAGAUCGCAAAUCAUUCUCGGUGGGUGGUGGUGAUGAAAAUAGGAUCAAAAAUCGCAACGAAAUGAUCAUACCGUAUGACAGAAAUCGAGUUAUAUUGACACCCAUACCAGGCCGAGAACAUUCCACCUAUAUCAAUGCUUCUUUUAUCGAAGGAUAUGACAAUUCCGAAUCUUUCAUUAUAACGCAAGAUCCACUGGACACUACGAUAGCUGAUUUUUGGAGAAUGAUUUCUGAACAGUGUAUAUCGACCAUCGUAAUGCUGUCGGACCUGAACGAAGGACCACGAAAAUGUCCGAGAUAUUGGCCCGAUGACGAAACAAAUUACGAUCACAUAAGAGUGCGAUAUAUCCAGAGCGAAAGUUGUCCUUAUUACACAAGACGGGAGCUUUGUGUGGCAAAUACAAAGACGGACGAGACAGUAUUUGUAACGCAAUAUCAAUAUCAUGGAUGGCCAACAGUCGAGGGUGAAGUUCCAGAGGUCACGCGAGGCGUCAUAGAGCUGGUCGAUCAAACGCUCAGUCAUGACGUCGAAUCCAGUGGCCCUUUGGUCAUUCACUGUAGUUUCGGUUCAGACAGGAGUUCAAUGUUUGUAGCUCUGAGCAUAUUGGUCCAACAGUUACGCACGGAAAAACGCGUUGACAUAUUCACGACAACGAAAAAAUUACGAUCGCAAAGACAUGGAAUGAUCAGCACUUUUGCACAAUACGAGUUUCUUCAUCGAGCGGUCAUCAACUACGCGGAUCUCCACAACAUUGCCGAAGAUGAACCAAUCUCUUAAUGAACGGAGGCUGAGAGUUUAGACACUGCAGAGCAACAGUAUUGUUUGGCAAAUUAAAAUCGCCAUUGGUUCAACUGGAAAGGAAUUUAUUAAUCACUUGAGUGAUGAGAAGAUGUGCAAGCUCGUUUCACCGAAAAUACAAACCGGCGGUGGUGCGCUUCAAGGUGAUGCGUUUGGUGAUGUACAGUCACCCGGUAUGCGUAU